rnacentral:rRNA from 1 species
UGGGGAAUAUUGGACAAUGGGCGAAAGCCUGAUCCAGCCAUGCCGCGUGUGUGAAGAAGGUCUUCGGAUUGUAAAGCACUUUAAGUUGGGAGGAAGGGCAGUAAGCGAAUACCUUGCUGUUUUGACGUUACCGACAGAAUAAGCACCGGCUAACUCUGUCCCAGCAGCCGCGGUAAUACAGAGGGUGCAAGCGUUAAUCGGAAUUACUGGGCGUAAAGCGCGCGUAGGUGGUUCGUUAAGUUGAAUGUGAAAGCCCCGGGCUCAACCUGGGAACUGCAUCCAAAACUGGCGAGCUAGAGUAGGGCAGAGGGUGGUGGAAUUUCCUGUGUAGCGGUGAAAUGCGUAGAUAUAGGAAGGAACACCAGUGGCGAAGGCGACCACCUGGGCUCAUACUGACACUGAGGUGCGAAAGCGUGGGGAGCAAUCAGG